GCUCUGGUGGUGCAGUGCUUAAAGCGCUUGGCUGCUAACCAAAAGGCCGGUGGUUCAAACCCACCAGGAGCU
rnacentral:tRNA from 1 species